rnacentral:rRNA from 1 species
GAUGAACGCUGGCGGCGUGCUUAACACAUGCAAGUCGAACGAUGAUCCCAGCUUGCUGGGGGAUUAGUGGCGAACGGGUGAGUAACACGUGAGUAACCUGCCCUUGACUCUGGGAUAAGCCUGGGAAACUGGGUCUAAUACCGGAUAUGACUCCUCAUCGCAUGGUGGGGGGUGGAAAGCUUUUGUGGUUUUGGAUGGACUCGCGGCCUAUCAGCUUGUUGGUGGGGUAAUGGCCUACCAAGGCGACGACGGGUAGCCGGCCUGAGAGGGUGACCGGCCACACUGGGACUGAGACACGGCCCAGACUCCUACGGGAGGCAGCAGUGGGGAAUAUUGCACAAUGGGCGGAAGCCUGAUGCAGCGACGCCGCGUGAGGGAUGACGGCCUUCGGGUUGUAAACCUCUUUCAGUAGGGAAGAAGCCGUGAGGUGACGGUACCUGCAGAAGAAGCGCCGGCUAACUACGUGCCAGCAGCCGCAGUAACAC